rnacentral:rRNA from 1 species
AGUGAACGCUGGCGGUAGGCCUAACACAUGCCAGUCGAACGGCAGCACAGUAAGAGCUUGCUCUUACGGGUGGCGAGUGGCGGACGGGUGAGGAAUACAUCGGAAUCUACUUUUUCGUGGGGGAUAACGUAGGGAAACUUACGCUAAUACCGCAUACGACCUACGGGUGAAAGCAGGGGAUCUUCGGACCUUGCGCGAUUGAAUGAGCCGAUGUCGGAUUAGCUAGUUGGCGGGGUAAAGGCCCACCAAGGCGACGAUCCGUAGCUGGUCUGAGAGGAUGAUCAGCCACACUGGGACUGAGACACGGUCCAGACUCCUACGGGAGGCAGUAGUGGGGUAUAUUGGACAAUGGGCGCAAGCCUGAUCCAGCCAUACCGCGUGGGUGAAGAAGGCCUUCGGGUUGUAAAGCCCUUUUGUUGGGAAAGAAAAGCAGCAGGUUAAUACCCCGCUGUUCUGACGGUACCCAAAGAAUAAGCACCGGCUAACUUCGUG